GUAAGUAUAGUUUAAAUAAAACAUUAGGCUGUGGCCCUAAAAAUAUAGACUAACACACUAUUAUAUACC